CACGUAGGGCGCAAGCGUUGUCCGGAAUUAUUGGGCGUAAAGAGCUCGUAGGCGGUCUGUUGCGUCCGCUGUGAAAUCCCGGGGCUCAACCCCGGAACUGCCUUUGAUACUGGGUGUCUGGAGGUCGAGAGAGGUGAGUGGAAUUCCGAGUGUAGAGGUGAAAUUCGUAGAUAUUCGGAGGAACACCAGUGGCGAAGGCGGCUAUCUGGACAGAGUCUGACGCUGAGGCGCGAAAGCUAGGGGAGCAAACAGG
rnacentral:rRNA from 1 species